UACCGAUACCUAUAAAUAAAACAAUAAUUAGAAUUGUAUAUAUGAAUUAUCAUUUAAAAAAUUAAAAAGAAAAGUGUGGGAAAAAGAAGAGUCUUUACAAUGGCUGGGAAUCAUUAUUCCAACCACAGGAUAAAAAAAGAACCAGUCGAGAAAGUGAAAACAAAUAUACCGUCACGUGAUUCACACCGAUGUCCAUAAUAGGAAAUUGAAUGAUUCAACUCUUUUUUUGUGAAAGUAACAUACUGCAUGCUGGCAUAUGAAAAAUGUAUACAAUAGCUCGUUGGAAAGGAUAUUCAAAGCACGAAGGAAAAAAGAAACAAUUAAAGGAAUGAUAAACUCCAUUGUUAAUUAUAACGUUCAAGUUGACAACAUGGCAGCAAGCGUGAAGCCUCGAGUGUAAUGACUUGGGCAGUUAACAAAGGAACGUUCGAUGACCUUCAAUUUUUUAUAUCUGAUAUAAUAUUUCAUAAUUAGAAAAAUUGAAACAGUUGAAUGACAAUAAUCAUCGGAUAAUUUCCACCUAGCAUAUAGGUUCGGGUAAACAAUAAAAUGGUCGGUAUUCGCGGUAUUGUUUUUCUAUGCUACUUGCGUCUAAAUAAAAUAAUCGAUUUUGUAUUGA